rnacentral:rRNA from 1 species
UACGAAGGGGGCUAGCGUUGUUCGGAUUUACUGGGCGUAAAGCGCACGUAGGCGGAUCGUUAAGUCGGGGGUGAAAUCCUGGAGCUCAACUCCAGAACUGCCUUCGAUACUGGCGAUCUCGAGUCCGGAAGAGGUGAGUGGAACUCCUAGUGUAGAGGUGGAAUUCGUAGAUAUUAGGAAGACCACCAGUGGCGAAGGCGGCUCACUGGUCCGGUACUGACGCUGAGGUGCGAAAGCGUGGGGAGCAAACAGG